CUGAGCUGAAGUCAGAUGCUUAACCGACUGAGCCACCCAGGUGCCCCUGAAAAUGUAUUUGUAGUAGAAGAGUAAUUCUCAAUCAAGGAUGAUUUUGUCCCCCAGGAGGCAUUUGGCAAUUUCUGGAGAUAUUUUUGUCACAGCUGUGGGGAGAGGGUAUGCCACUGACAUCUGGUGAGUGGAGGCCUGCAGCAAUGUGCAGGACAGCCUCCACAACAAAGAUUUAUUUGGUACGAAAUGUCAAUAGUGCUGAAGCUGAGAAACACUGGAAUAGAAGGAAAGCAACCAAAAUAUCCUAAAUGAGGAAUUGCCUUAGCAAACUAUGGCACAUCUAUCAAUAUAAUGGACUACUGUGCAGGUCUUAGAAAGUGUACUGUCAAAAUAUUUACAGAGAUGACAAUCUAAUUAUUAGUGCUUUCUCACACUGAACAGCCUAUAUUUCCUCACACAAAAGCUCUCUAGUAUGUUCUAAGUUCUAUUAUUUGUUACAUCCAUGAUCUUCUUAUGUUCCUAACAAGGAGGAGAAUUCUUUGGGGAAAAGGUCAGCACUUAUUUACCAUUUCCCUCAACACACCUUACACAGUGUUGGUGCAAGGAAGGAAAACUGCAGUUAUUAUGCAGUGUUUUGGCUCCCUUUGGUUGAAGACGCUGAAUUACCUGGAGGGAAAACAACCCUGGUUGAGAUAAAGCUAAAGAAGAGGAAGAGGAACGACCUGGGAGCCACUGGGAACCAAUGUUAGGCCAUGACGACAGGAGGUUGCUAUGAACAGAGCCCACCCAAAGAGGCAGAACUGAGAAGGAGAGAGACUCGGACUCUGGUCACAGCAUUUGAACUACCAAAGCAAGCUUCUUUGAAAGGAUAAAAUGUGUCCAUAGACCAUAGUUGCAACUGAUGAGAGAAUAUGAUUCCAACGUGACUGUUAGCUGAUGUUUUCAUUUACAGGAAAGAGCAAGAUGGAAAUGAAACAAAUAUGCGUGUCCGAACUUCACUCAUUCGUUAAUGAUGUUUUAUAGCAUGUAACUGUGUUAAGGAAGAUUGAUAAACCUAAUAAACUUAUAUAUAAACCUAUCAGUAAAGGAUUAUAGAGAGGAAAUUCAACUUCACUCUGGAGUACUCGUUAUAUCUCUUCCGGAACUUCAAGUUACAGCAUGUUAUGACUGUGAAGCAUCUCCUCAGUGGUUUUUUGCUUCUUAAUAUGAAAGACUGCCAUCAAUGAAGCUCAGUAUUUUAGAGAAUUGUGGUUUAAGUGUUGAGUUUCCCAUCUUACUCAACUUCAUAAUUCAGUAUAUGUCUCAUGGGGAAAAUUCGCCCUGUGUUUGAUGCCUUUAUAUUUACAAUCUUUCACUCUAGAUGCAUCCCUCUCUUGUGGCAAAACCUGGAUUCUUCUCUACUAGCUACAUUCAAGAUUAGCCAAGGCUCCAGGAAUAAUGUUACAGAGGGUCAAAAUACUGCUUCCAAAGAAUAACUAUUGCUGCAUAAUAAAUUACCCCAAACGUAUCAGCUAAAACCAACAUA